AUGAACGCUGGCGGCGUGCCUAAUACAUGCCAGUCGAGCGAACAGACGAGGAGCUUGCUCCUCUGACGUUAGCGGCGGACGGGUGAGUAACACGUGGAUAACCUACCUAUAAGACUGGGAUAACUUCGGGAAACCGGAGCUAAUACCGGAUAAUAUAUUGAACCGCAUGGUUCAAUAGUGAAAGACGGUUUUGCUGUCACUUAUAGAUGGAUCCGCGCCGCAUUAGCUAGUUGGUAAGGUAACGGCUUACCAAGGCAACGAUGCGUAGCCGACCUGAGAGGGUGAUCGGCCACACUGGAACUGAGACACGGUCCAGACUCCUACGGGAGGCAGCAGUAGGGAAUCUUCCGCAAAGGGCGAAAGCUUGACGGAGCAACGCCGCGUGAGUGAUGAAGGUCUUCGGAUCGUAAAACUCUGUUAUUAGGGAAGAACAAAUGUGUAAGUAACUAUGCACGUCUUGACGGUACCUAAUCAGAAAGCCACGGCUAACUACGUG
rnacentral:rRNA from 1 species